UGCCGUUCUGAGACACCAGCACAGGGGCCUUUGUUUGCUAUCCCAACAGAUUUUUUUUCUUUCUUUUCUCUGAGCAGUUCAACAAAAAAAAAAAAAAGAAAGAAAAGAAAAGAAAAGAAACCAAAAAUACCUCCACAGGGACAAUCCACAAAGAAAUGAUGACUUCCCAGCUUUGCAGAAGUUGUGUUUUAGAAAGCAAAUUUCAUCUUACUUGAAUCCUGGGAGAAAGGCAGUUAAUGCCUCAAUGAUUAGCAACUGCUGAGACUCAAAACUCCAUGUCAGUGAGGACAAAAAGCCUAUGAAGCAUAUGCUCAUUUGCACCAGAUGAUACAGCUUAUUCACAGAAGAAAACAGCAAAUUAGUAUAUUGUUGAUACUUGGAGUAUCGUAUUGUGGUACUGAGGAUUAAACCCAUAGCCUCAGCAUUGAGCUAUAUCCUCAGCCACCUCCCUUUAAUCUGAGAUAGGGUGUCACUAUCUAAACCACUAAAUUACCAGGCUGGGUUAGAAUUUGUGAUCCUUCUUCCUCAGCUUCCCAGAAGCUGGGAUUCCAGCUAUGGACCACCACACCCAACUGUACUUAGGAUGUCUUGAGACCACAACAAAUAGAUAAAGUAAAAGCUUCUUGGUUUAUAAAACCAAGUCAAUAUUCAAAAAGGACCAAAGACAAUGAAACAGGCAAAAAGAUAAAAAGUAUUUGUGCCCAAGAAUUUUCCAGAAAAUUGUGAAGGAUUUUCACAUUUUAAAAGACCAGUCAAAUUCAUCUCAGAAGAAAAUAAACAUAAAUUAGAGGAUUAUAUUUAAUUCUAAAGCAUAGUGGAGGGUAUUAGAUGGCUUUGUAAACACUGAAAACUUUACUACAGUUUAAAUCCCUCAAAUGAAUUGGAAAUAUUUUCUUUUAAUGGGAAAGAACAAUAGGUGUGGUUUGCAACAAAUAACUACACCCCUUGGAAAAAGUUUUUCAUGUGGUAGAGGAAGAAUGGAAAAGGUGUGGAGUUCACCUUGUCCUGGACCCCUGCCUUCCUUUCCCAUCUUGGAGUCGGCAGGGCCUCUCCCUUUUCUGGAGGUCUUUCUCUUGAAUUCCAGCACCAGGAAAGUCCAUUUCUUUGUGUCUGGCAGUCAUGAUAGAUUUCAUCAGCCAAUCACUGUUUCAUUGGGUUCCACUGGUGAUGUGAGAGACAGGAAAAGAGAGAGAGAAAAUAAGUACUCUUCAGCAUAGCCAGAGUUAAUCAAUCCUUACAAAAGCAAAAGAUACAGCCUUGAGAUCACAAAUAUCAUUUGGAUAUCAUUCCUAAUAGUGCAUCUCCUUUCUAGUCUUUAGCCCCCACUCUGUUACCUUGCCUUAGUUAGAAAGCAAAUUUUGUGAGAGAUAAUGGAGACGGGGGAAAGUCUAUACUUGAAAUGAAAAUUUCUUUCCCAUAUGUAUUAGUUCAUUUCCCGUUACUGUGAUGAAAUAGCUGGAUAAUGCACAAUGAAAAGAGAUUUAUGCAGCUCACAGUCUUGGAAACUGAAAAUCCAAGAUCAGACGGCCCCAUGUGAUCAGCCCUUGGUGAGGAGCUCAUGGUGCAUGGCUUCAUGGCAAGAGUAAGUGUGGGAAUGAGAGGUCACAGUGAGAUGGGAAGCAAGGGCAGAGGAGAGUCGGACGUGUGUGCUUGCAACAACCUUCUCUCAAGAACUGACUGGGUUCCCUUGAGAACUGUUUCAUGCCUUCUAUGGGUAGUUCCCUGAUAACCUGACUCUUAAAAGUCCUUCUCCACACAGGCAACCAAGCCUGCAACCCAUGAACCCUGGGGACAACUCACACCAUGUCCAAACCAUAGAACCAUGAAGUUUUGUUUGUAUGAACAACUCAAUUUAGGACUCUUAUUUUGGACCCGUAGAACUUUCAAUAAUUUAUAAUAAAUACCCUAAAGAAAAAAAAAACUUUGCUGAAACUCAAAAUCUGCCACAGUUACCUUGUACUUGCAAAAUAAAGAGGUCACGUACAGAUGGGUUUCAAGGGCAAGUUAAAAUUUUAAGAUGUAUUUAUCUAAAUUCAUUUGAUAUCUUCCUAUGUACUAAAAGAAUAAUCAAUCCUUCUCACUUGGAAGCCACAGGGAAUCAAGGGAAGCAGGAAAAUGCUCUUGUUUUUGGCCAUGUGUAGCCAUAUAGCAAUGUUCCCUCUGUCUGUCCCUAAUCCCUCCUAUAUGCAUUGGAGGCAAUGAGAAAGACUGGAAACUAAUAUGAUUGUAUUGGUUUAUGCUACCAAAAGUGACUCCUGACUUCUGCUUUUCCCAGUGGCUAACAGAUAGAAGAGUGUUUUUCCACAAGUGUGGAGAAAACCUACAACUGAAUUAUAGUGAAGACGUAGUAAGGCUUGGGGGCUUCAUACAGAUUGGCCUUUUUUGUUCUUCUUUUAUGAUACAUGUUAAGAUCUUAAAUUAUGGGUAUAGUUGGAACAACCAUUGAUAGAUACUAAAAAUUCUUAGAAAUCUAGUGAUCCAUUCUGUUAUUUUUAAAAAGAAGAUCUAAUGGAUGAUAUUUAAUCAAUUGGUAGAUUACCAGGAAUGACAUCUGUUAUUUCACUCACUCUGAACCUUAGGACAAAGCUCCAUAAAUGAUUGUUGUUGAAUUAAGAAACGAGAAUUUAAUAUAGAAUAAAGCCACAUUUUAAAUUAAUGGAAACUGAUGGAUUUUUUCCUAGAAAAUAAUAUUGGCUAGUCAUACUUUCAUAUGUUAUACCACAGAAAAAUAUUUUUCGGGUGGAUGAAAGAGCCAAAUGUAAAGACAAGAACUAUAGGUGAAUUAGGAGAAAAUAAAGGAAACUCUCUCUGUAAGCCCAAUAUGGGGACAGUCUUCCUAAAAACUACACAAAAUGCAAAACCUAUAAGAGGAGAGAAAAUCAAAUUGGUUGACUUUACAAGAAAAUAUUUCUACAAAAUGAAUGAAAUCAUAGAUAACAAGAAAACACACAAAACAAUAUGGUAGAACAUAUUUACAAAACACAUAACUGUGUAAGGAAAGGCAAAGCAUACCACAGAAAACAAAUGUUAAGGGAUAUGAGUAGCUAAUCCACAGAGGGAGACACAAAUGGUCAGUUAGAACUUGAAGAUAUGCAACCUCCUCAGUAGCCAGGAAAACAAAGAUUUAAAAAAAUGACUUUGUUUCCAUCUUUUUCCAUUUCUCAUAUUUUUUUACUUUCCCUUCUUUCCUUUCCCCUACCCCUCCUACUCCCCCUACCCCUGACUCUUUAGACCUUUCCUUCCUAUCUCACAUUAUCAAUUAUACAUUUUGAUCCUAAUUUACACUUUUAGUAAAGUCUUUGUAAAGUCGGAGGGGUGGGUGGUUUGAAGGGAG
rnacentral:lncRNA from 1 species